GACGAACGCUGGCGGCGUGCUUAACACAUGCAAGUCGAACGGAAAGGCCCUGCUUGCAGGGUGCUCGAGUGGCGAACGGGUGAGUAACACGUGGGUGAUCUGCCCCUUACUUUGGGAUAAGCCUGGGAAACUGGGUCUAAUACUGGAUAGGACCAUGCUGUAGGUGGUGUGGUGGAAAGAUUAGUUUCGGUAAGGGAUGAGCUUGCGGCCUAUCAGCUUGUUGGUGGGGUAAUGGCCUACCAAGGCGUCGACGGGUAGCCGGCCUGAGAGGGUGGACGGCCACAUUGGGACUGAGAUACGGCCCAGACUCCUACGGGAGGCAGCAGUGGGGAAUAUUGCACAAUGGGCACAAGCCUGAUGCAGCGACGCCGCGUGGGGGAUGACGGCCUUCGGGUUGUAAACUCCUUUCAGCCAUGACGAAGCCCUUGUGGUGACGGUAGUGGUAGAAGAAGCACCGGCUAACUACGUG
rnacentral:rRNA from 1 species